AGAGUUUGAUCAUGGCUCAGGAUAAACGCUGGCGGCGUGCAUGAGACAUGCAAGUCAUACGGGCGAGCUUGCUCGCUAGUGGCGGACGGCUGAGUAACGCGUAGGUGACCUGCCCCGAAGUGGGGAAUAACUGCCCGAAAGGGUGGCUAAUACCGCAUGUGGUGGUUCGUUCAUUCGAGCCUCCAAAGCAGCGAUGCGCUUCGGGAGGGGCCUGCGUCCGAUUAGCUCGUUGGUGGGGUAACGGCUCACCAAGGCGACGAUCGGUAGGUGGUCUGAGAGGACGAUCACCCAGACUGGGACUGAGACACGGCCCAGACUCCUACGGGAGGCAGCAGUCGGGAAUUUUGCGCAAUGGACGAAAGUCUGACGCAGCAACGCCGCGUGAGGGAUGAAGGCCUUCGGGUUGUAAACCUCUUUUCUCAGGGACGAUAAUGACGGUACCUGAGGAAUAAGUCACGGCUAACUACGUGCCAGCAGCCGCGGUAAUACGUAGGUGGCUAGCGUUGUCCGGAUUUACUGGGCGUAAAGAGCGCGCAGGCGGUCGUUCAAGUCGAGUGUGAAAGCCCCCGGCUCAACUGGGGAGGGUCACUCGAUACUGAUCGACUUGAAGGCGGGAGAGGGAAGCGGAAUUCCCGGUGUAGUGGUGAAAUGCGUAGAUAUCGGGAGGAACACCAGUGGCGAAGGCGGCUUUCUGGCCCGUUCUUGACGCUGAGGCGCGAAAGCUAGGGUAGCAAACGGGAUUAGAUACCCCGGUAGUCCUAGCCGUAAACG
rnacentral:rRNA from 1 species